rnacentral:rRNA from 1 species
GGAGGAAAAGAAACUAACAAGGAUUCCCCUAGUAACGGCGAGUGAAGCGGGAAGAGCUCAAAUUUGAAAUCUGGUGGCCUCAGGUCAUCCGAGUUGUAAUCUAUAGAAGUGUUUUCCGUGCUGGCUCAUGUACAAGUCCCUUGGAACAGGGCGUCAUAGAGGGUGAGAAUCCCGUCCUUGACAUGAACUACCAGUGCUCUGUGAUACAUUUUCAACGAGUCGAGUUGUUUGGGAAUGCAGCUCAAAAUGGGUGGUAAAUUCCAUCUAAAGCUAAAUAUUGGCGAGAGACCGAUAGCGAACAAGUACCGUGAGGGAAAGAUGAAAAGCACUUUGGAAAGAGAGUUAAACAGUAUGUGAAAUUGUUGAAAGGGAAACGAUUGAAGUCAGUCGUGCUCUUUGGAUUCAGCCGGUUCUGCCGGUGUACUUCCUUUGAGUGGGGUCAACAUCAGUUUUGAUCGCUGGAUAAAGGCUGGAGGAACGUAGUACCCUCGGGUAAACUUAUAGCCUCCUGUCACAUACAGUGGUUGGGACUGAGGAACGCAGCACGCCUUUAUGGCCGGGAUUCGUCCACGUACGUGCUUAGGAUGUUGACAUAAUGGCUUUAAACGACCCGU